GGGCGGAUAGCUCAGUGGAAGAGCAUCGGUCUUACACGCCGAGGGCCACAGGUUCGAGCCCUGUUCCGCCCACCA
rnacentral:tRNA from 1 species